UCCAAGGAAGGCAGCAGGCGCGCAAAUUACCCAAUCCCGACACGGGGAGGUAGUGACAAUAAAUACUGAUAUUGGGUUCUUUUGGAUCUAAUAAUUGGAAUGAGUACAAUUUAAAUCCCUUAACGAGGAACAAUUGGAGGGCAAGUCUGGUGCCAGCAGCCGCGGUAAUUCCAGCUCCAAUAGCGUAUAUUAAAGUUGUUGCAGUUAAAAAGCUCGUAGUUGAACCUUGGGCCUGGCUGGUCGGUCCGCCUCACCGCGUGCACUGAUCCGGCCGGGCCUUUCCUUCUGAGGAGCCGCAUGCCCUUCACUGGGUGUGUCGGGGAAUCAGGACUUUUACUUUGAAAAAAUUAGAGUGUUCAAAGCAGGCCUAUGCUCGAAUACAUUAGCAUGGAAUAAUAGAAUAGGACGUGUGGUUCUAUUUUGUUGGUUUCUAGGACCGCCGUAAUGAUUAAUAGGGAUAGUCGGGGGCAUCAGUAUUCAAUUGUCAGAGGUGAAAUUCUUGGAUUUAUUGAAGACUAACUACUGCGAAAGCAUUUGCCAAGGAUGUUUUCAUUAAUCAGUGAACGAAAGUUAGGGGAUCGAAGACGAUCAGAUACCGUCGUAGUCUUAACCAUAAACUAUGCCGACUAGGGAUCGGGCGAUGUUAUUUUUUGACUCGCUCGGCACCUUACGAGAAAUCAAAGUCUUUGGGUCUGGGGGGAGUAUGGUCGCAAGGCUGAAA
rnacentral:rRNA from 1 species